UUCUUCCACUAUCUGGACAUGCCCACCACUCUACCAGCCAACCAACGAGGAACCUCAGCCCAACGGACCCUAGCGUCGGGUUUCAACCACCAUCUGGAGUAGAUUCCGAUUUAUACCGGUGCUUUGGCUAUCGUUUGUUCAUGGCACUCCCUUUCAACGUUUCUUGAAACUUCUCUCUCAAGUUCUCCCGCACUUUGGCGACUCUAACUUUGCCUAUCUCAACUGCCUUGAGCCGACGUAAGUAAGCCAGCCGGAUCGCCGGGCUACCCUGACUGAAGGAGCUACUCCCGUCAAAACAGCCAUCGACAACCCACGAACUAGCCACAUAAACGCCGACCAUACGCGACUCUCGGAACACCUGCUUACAACUUCCCGCGCAUCACCUGGUAAGGAAUGCCCACACCUUGGGAGGCACGAAACUCCGUACAACCGGUACUCCGAAUUUUAAACGCAGAGGCGAUACCACGCAGCCGGAACAACUCGACAACGACGGCACCAUACCAGCGCACGCUGGACGACAUCAACCGCUACCGCACUGUCCACGCCUGCGCAACUCUGCACGUAGAGCCACACUU
rnacentral:rRNA from 1 species